GGGGCGGUAGCGUAGCUUGGACAGCGCGGGGGCUUCCGGAGCCUCAGGUCGCGGGUUCAAAUCCCGUCCGCUCCG
rnacentral:tRNA from 4 species